rnacentral:lncRNA from 1 species
UUUCAAGCUCAAGUUAUUAGGGUAUUAGUAGUUAUGGCCGUAUGUUGUACUUUGUCUUUUUCAAAUUAUGCUAAUUUGAAUUUUUGAGUAAUGAGUUGUGACUAUUUUGCAUUUAUUUUGUUUAGUGAGGACUAUUGCUAUUGACUAUCGGACUCAAGUGGGUGUACCGUGCUAAUAGCGAUGCCUAGGCCCAAGUACUCUCAAAUCCAUAUCUCCGCGCCUUUGAAUGUUGUGGUACGUAACUGUGGCUUUAAAUUUUGUAUAUUUAUCUUGGGCCUUAAUUAACCUGAACUUGAAGUUCCCCGGGUUCAAUUUCAAGCUCAAGUUAAUUAGGUAUUAUUAGACAAGGCCUUAUGUUUUAAAUACGCUUUGGCCCUUUGUCAAAAUUAGCUGAUUUGAGUUUUUUGUGUAAUAUGUAGUGACUGUUUUUGCAUUUGGUCUGUUUUGCGAGGACUUUGCUAUUGACUAUACCCGUAUUCAACUUCAAGUCGGUAUUUAGGUACUUGUUUUUGUUGUUAUUAUUUUAUGUUGUUUUUUUAUUUAUAGCAUGAUUUUAAUGUUUGAGUACGAGUGAGUGACUGCCUUUGCUUUUUUGUUUUGUCGAGGACUAAUACUGUUGACUAUCGGGUUUAAAUUUCAUCAGCUCAAGUGUAUUAGGGUAAUUAUUAGUUAUUUCCGUAUGCUUUACUUUGUCUUUUUCAAAUAUGCUAAUUUGAAUUUUUGAGUAAUGAUUUGGCUGACUAUUUUCAUUGAUUUUUUGUUUAGUGAGGACUAUUGCUAUUGACUAUCCGGACUCAAGUUGGUGUUACCGUGGUAAAGCGAUGCCUGGCCCAAUACUCUCAACCAUAUCCCACCCUUUGAAUGUUGUGGUCGUAACUGAUGGCUUAAAUUUGUUGUCAUUUAUUCUUGGGCCUUAAUUAACCCUAACGUGAAUUUCCCCGGUUCAAUUUCAAGCGUCAUGUUAAUUAGGAAUUAUUAGACAAGGCCCUUUAUUUAAACUUUGUCCUUUUUACAAGUUAUCUGAUUUGAGUUUUGUUGUGUAAUAUGUAUGACUGUUUUUGCUUUGUUUUCGUUUUCGAGGAACUAUUCUCUUGACUACCGGAUUCAACUUCAGCUCGAGUUAUUUUAGGUACUUUUUGUUAGUACUUUAUGUUGUUUUUUUAUCUACAAGCAUGAUUUUAAAAUGUUUUGAGUAACGAGUAGUGACAGCUUUUUGCAUUUUGUUUUGUUUUGGCGAGGACUAAUACUGUUGACUAUCGGUUGUUAAUUUCAAGCUCGAAGUUAUUAGGGUAUUAUUAGUUAUGGCCGUUAUGUUGACUUGUCUUUUUCAAAUAUGCUAAUUGAUUUUUGAGUAAUGAGUUUGACAUUUUGCAUUAUUUUUGUUUAGUGAGGACUAUUGCUAUGGACUAUCGGGGACUGGAAUCAAGUGGGUGUACGUACUAAAUAGCGAUGCCUAGGCCCAAGUUCUCAAAUCCAUAUCUCCGCGCCUUUGAAUGUUUGUGGUACGUAACUGUUGACUUUAAAUUUUGUAAUUACUUGGGCCGUAAGUUACACCUGAACUGGAAGUCCCGGGUUCAAUUUCAAGCUCAAGUUAAUAGUAUUAUUAGACAGGACUUUAUGUUGUACUUGUAUUUUAAAAUUAUGACUGAUUUGAGUUUUUGUCUGUAGUAAGAUGUAGUGAACGUUUUUGCAUUGUCGUUUGCGAGGACUAUGCCCUAUUGACUACCGGAUUCAACUUAAAGUGCGAGUUAUUUAGGUUAACUUUUUGUUAGUACUUUAUGUGUGUUUUUAUUUAGAGACAUGAUUUAUGUUUGAGUAACGAGUAGUGACUGCUUGCAUUUUUUUGUUUUGCGUGAGGACUAAUUCUGUUGAAUAGUCGGGGUUUAAUUCAAGUCAAGUUAUUAGGGAUUAGUAGUUAUGGCCGCAUGUGUACUUGUCUUUUUCAAAUUAUGCCUAAUUGAAUUUUUGAGAGUAAUAGUGUGACUGUAUUUUGCCUUAUUUUGUUUAGUGAGGACUAAUGCUAUUGACUAUCGGAUCAAGUGGGUUUGUACCGUGCUAAUAGCGAUGCCUAAGGCCCAAAGUACUCUCAAAUCCAUAUACUCCGCGCCUUUGAAUGUUGUGGGGAGUACGUAAUGUGCUUUAAAUUUUGUUAUAUUAUCUUUGGCCUUAAUAACCUUGAACUGGAAGUUCCCGGGUUAAUUCAAGCUCAAGUUAUUAGGUAUAUUAGACAGGCCUUAUGUUGUGUACUUGUCUUUUUAAAAUUAUGCUGAUUUGAGUUUUUGUGUAAUAUGUAGUGACUGUUUUGCAUUUGUUCUGUUUUGCGAGGACUAUUGCUAUUGACUACCGGAUUCAACUUCAAGCUCGAGUUAUUUAGGUACUUUUUGUUAGUACUUUAUGUUGUUUUUUAUUUAUAGCAUGAUUUUAAUGUUUGAGUAACGAGUAGUGACUGCUUUGCAUUUUUUUUGUUUUGCGAGGACUAAUACUGUUGACUAUCGGGUUUAAUUUCAAGCUCAAGUUAUUAGGGUAUUAGUAGUUAUGGCCGUAUGCUGUACUUUGUCUUUUCCAAUAGCUAUUUGAAUUUUUGAGUAAUGAGUUGUGACUAUUUUGCAUUAUUUUGUUUUAGUGAGGACUAUUGCCUAUUGAUAUCGACUCAAGUGGGUGUACCGUGGUAAUAGCGCUGCCUAGGACCAAGUACUCUCAAACCAUAUCUCCACGCCUUAAUGUUGUGGUACUUAACUGUGGCUUUAAAUUUUGCUAUAUUUAUCUUGGGCCUUAAUUAACCUGAAACUUGAAGUCCACGGGUUCAAUUCAAGCUCAUUUAAUUAGGUAUAGUGACACGGGCCUUAUUAUUAAAAUUUGUCUUUAAAAUUAUGCUGAUUUGAGAUUUGGUUAAUAUGUAGUGACUGUUUUGCAUUUGUUCUGUUUUGCGAGGACUAUUGCUAUUGACUACCGGAUUCAACUUCAAGCUCGAGCUAUUUAGGUACUUUUUGUUAGUACUUUAUGUUGUUUUUUAUUUA